rnacentral:rRNA from 1 species
ACAGAGGCGGCAAGCGUUGUUCGGAAUUAUUGGGCGUAAAGAGCAUGUAGGCGGCUAUGUAAGUCGGUUGUGAAAGCCUUCCGCUUAACGGAAGGAUGGCGGUCGAAACUGCAUGGCUUGAGUGCGGGAGGGGAGAGUGGAACUUCUGGUGGAGCGGUGAAAUACGUAGAUAUCAGAAAGAACAUCGACGGCGAAAACGACUCUCUAGACCAUAACUAACGCUGAGUGUGCGAAAGCUAGGGGAGCAAACGG